rnacentral:lncRNA from 1 species
AUGCUUUGGUGGAUGCAGUGCAGCACAUGGGGGGGGGNGGGGGGGGGGGGGGGGGGCCUCACCUCUCACAGAAGGUGUGCAGGCACGGCAGCACCUUGGGGUUGCGGUAGCGGUCGAGGCAGAUGCUGCACACCAGGAACUGUUUGUCAAUCUGCCGCACCACCGGGCUGGCGUUGGCCUCCCGCUUCGCCAUGGCGGCGUCCCCGAGGCCCCGCGGCGCUCAGCCUGCGGGCGGGGCUGUCAGUGCGCGCCGGGCCCCGCACCGCGCUCAGCCCCGCACCGCGCCCAGCCCCGCACCGCGCCCGGCCGCAGCCGCAGAGCCGGCGAAAGGAGCGCAGUCCCCGGUCCGGAGCGACCCCGCCCGCCCAGCAGCGCUCACCCCGCACCGCACCGCUGCCCCCGCAGCGCUCCCGCUCGCCCCGCGGCCUCCCCCUCCUCACGCGCCGCACGCUCGGAUCCCCCCGAGGGCACCGCCGCUCCCAGCGCCCCGCACCGCCCCCCACCCCUCCCGCCCCGCGGCGUUAUCUCCCGGCCCCGCGUCCGCUCACGGCGCUGCGGCGGCCCCGCGGCUGCAGGCCCCGGCGCGGCCCCGCCCCGACGGCCAUUGUGCAGGCCCGGCACCGCGACGUCACCAUCCGCCCCGCCCCGGGGGGGCGCGGGGCACCGGCACCGGGAUGGCGCUGCGCGGCCCCCGCCCGCUGGCACCGCGGUGCCCACCCGCGCCUGCUCCCCCCCUCCCGCGCCGCUCACCCCCCCAGCGCAGCGCUGCCCGCGGCCCCGCACCCCCUGCCCGCACCGCCCCACCCGUGCCGGCCGUGUCCCGGCCGCCCGCCCCGCCCCGCGGCCGCGCUGUCACCUUCCAGCCCGGCUCGGCUCGGCACGGCUCAGCCCCCGCCGCGGGCAGCCGGGGCCGGCGGGGCGACAGCGCGCAUCGCCGCGGCUCGGCUCAGCCCGGCCCGGUUCGGUUCGGCCCGGCCCGGCGCGGCGGGGACUGCGCCAGGGCUGGGCGCGCUCCGCAGCCGCAUCUGCCCGAGCGGCGCGCACCACUGCGGGGGGGGCGCGGCCCCGCGCGUCCCCGCGGCAGCGCAAGAGGAGCCCAACCCUCCCGUGACCGCCCCGCCGGGGCCCGCAGAGCGCGGAGAGCCGCUCGGAACCCACGGUGGGACCGGCGCGCGGGGCGCCCACGGGCGGCCACGGGAAAAGCGCGCCAAAUGCCCCCUCCGCGCCCCGCCGAUGGUCUCGCCCGGGCUGUGGCUCUGCAGUGGGGGGGGCUCCGGGCGCGCUCCCCGCAUCCCCGGUACCCGGCGGUCGCCACGGCAACGGUAUCCCACUCCGAGCAUCGCCGGGAUGGGGGGGUGUGAGGCUGCCGGAGAGUUCGCGUGGGGCGCGGAGCUCCCGACCCGACCGCCCAUCCCUCCGCGUCGCCCCCCGCGCCGCUCCCGCUCACCUCCGCGGAGCCAUGCGGGCACGGAGAUACCCCGACCGGACCGGGAGUGCCGGUCCUGCAGAGCCCCUGAGAGCUGCCGCACCGCGGCCCCGGCCCGGAGUUGCUCGCGGCGGAACCGGACGGGCAACAUUCCUCGCACCGUCAUCGGCACCGGCACUGCCCCACCGCCACCGCGAGGGGACACGAAACCGGAGAGCCGGGGACAAAUCUGCGAGGAAGGCAGAGCAGGGGGUGGCGGCUCCUUGAUUUGGGCGCUCUGUCCCACAGUCCUCACACCCAAGGCAGGACGUUAUGGACAGCCGGGCGAAUAG